UCCCCCAGCAGAGGCCUCCUUCCCUGGGUGUCACUCCCGCAGAUCCUCCAUUUGAAGGUCGAGAAGCCACCGGGAACCAGGUCACUCUAGCUGCUGUGUGGAGAGAAGUCUGCAAGGGAGAAAAUUUUAGAGGCUAUUGCAAUAAUCUAGGAGGCUGAGUCACUUGGGCAAUGAUUCAGCCACACCCACCAUGAACUCUCAAUGACUUGAGGAGAAGAAUAGCAUGGAUAAUCUAAAAAUAAUGGACAGUGGGAGAGAACUUCAGCCCUCUCACGAACUGCAUGGAUCAUGAUUUGCUGCGAUGGGGGAGCAGCUGAUUUGCUUCAUUCAUUACAGUCUUGUCUCUGGCUGUUGUUAAAUCUACUUGUUCUUGAGAGCACCUGCAGCCAUCAUGCCAGGCUCAGUAUCACAGGGGCUGGGGAAAGAAAAUCCCUCUGGCCAGGGGUAACAGAAUAAAAAUGUAACUGAGUCCCAGAUAUACUAGUGUUUACCACCACUGCAUCUCUAAUGUAUCAACAGGACCUGGAAAGAUGGAAGUGAGUUCACUGUUCCCCCAGGGGCUAAGGUUGCUGGGAUGCUGGAGCAGAGAGAAACUUGGAGGUUUUAGAAAUGCUUUAGCUUCAGAAUGAAGGGAGCAGAGUGAUUAAUGCUGCAAGCUGCAUGGAGCGGCCAAUUGGAAAAACUAUAAAAGUCGGAACAGCACUGGAAGUGUUGACCCUGAAGACACACGCCUGGAGACGGGAUUUUUUUUUUGCACUUUUUAUUGCAGUAAUGCAGGGACUUUCUGUGAGUAGAAUCCAGGGGGCCAUCAAGCCUGUGUUCAGAUGGCUAUAAGGGAAGGGAUUUGAUCCUGCUCUGAGAAAGCUGUCUCGGGACCCAGGCAGAAAGCACAUUACUAUGUUAGAACCCUCAGUAGUUAAGAGAAAGUUCUUGGUUGAAUAGGGAAAGGAACCUGUAAAUAGCUGUAAAAUCCUGAACUAGCUGUGCCUCAUUCUGUGCUAGAUACAGCCCUGGAGGCAGAGGCCCAGAGACUUGAGGUCAAGACUCAGUUUUGCUGCUAACUUGGGCAAGUCACACCAUCUCUCUGCACUUGUUUCCUUCAUUGUGCAAUGAGAGGGUUGGACUGAAUGAUAUCUAAACUGCUCCCAGUCUCAAUUUUCUCCCAUUUGUGGAUGCUAUUUUAUGGAUAGAGAAAUCAAGACUAUUGAUAGAGACUGCAAAAGUACAGAUUUGCUCAUAACACAGAAAAUCUCAGAGAGCCGGUCAGUACCAAGGGAGAUAGAGUGGUCUGCCCUGGGCGCAAGGAGUAAGGAGGUGCAUUGUUGAUGGAGAAUUUUAAAACAAUAAUGAAACCAAGGGAAAGUCAGUCUGCUUUGUAUUAUCACCAUGGACUGACAAUUCUAAGCAAUGUCAGAGAUAAAAUACUCCUCCUCACCUGGGCGGACCACUCCCACCAUCCCCCUCCUUGGUGUGCCACUGUUUAUCUGAACAAUUCUCUUUUUAUUCGGUGCUCUUUCAGUUCCUCUGACUACAAAGGGAGAGGAGCUCACUACAGUGUUAACUCUUUCAUUGCCACCUCUUAGUGUUGAUUUGUCUCCAGUGAAGAAGAGUGAUGAGUUACUCUGAGUCACAGCAGUGGACUGGAGUGGCACCAAGGAAGCAGGGACAAUAAAAACAGAGCAUGGAGUGAGGUGUGGAAUGUUAGGAAGUGAAGUCCUGAACUUGUGGCCUGUGGACAGGGUGGGGACAGCUCCCUGAAGGCUCAGGUCAGGCUGGACGCGUGGUGCCUGAGAACAGACCGCACCAGCAUCUCAGUUCUGAUUUCUCAGCGCCCUGGCACUCUGGCUCCUUCCUGGAGCUUUCCUCUGCAGCACUUCAGAUGCAUUUCUUAGAAGUGAUCUGCUCUGUGCUCCUCAUGUCACACCACCCACCAUCCUCCUUUGGAUUGGAUUUCCUCUCCACCCUGUCCUGGUGUUUAGAAUAUGAAGGGACUCUGUCGCCCUUCUGGGGACUUGCAUAGCUUGCAUUGAUGCCUCCCUUCUGCAGGCUUGGUCCCCUUGGUGCCCAACCUUCUGCUUGAUGGUGUUGACACUCUCCAAGGAACCAUUCCUGAAAGCGGUAAACUAAUCUGUGCACAUUCUAUGGGGGUUGAUGAGCUGCUCUGGAGAGGACCAGGGAGUCUCUUAGGAAAAUGUGAAUGUGGUGGGGGGAGGAAGCUGGAGAAGGGAUGUAGAACUCGAAGAUGGAGAUCCUUGCCAAAUUAAAUAAAAAAGUUUUUUUUUUCAAAGUGAGAGUCCAGUUCGAAGCAAUUAGAUUGACAAUCAACUCAACCCAACCCAA